GAAAGCUUGAGUCCCUGGGCUGACUUCUUUCACCACACCCUUGGGGCUGUUUGAGUUCUCUGGCAUGCCCUUUGGACUAUGCAACGCCUCUGCCACCUUCCAGAGCCUCAUGCAGAAGUGUCUAGGAAGCAAGGACACCUUCGGCCUGGACUGGCAGUCUUUCGUGUCCGACCAGAGGGAGGAGACCAAUACGGGCCAUUCAUCUGAACCAUGUGCAACCUUGCCCCUAACGACCUUCAGACCGCUCCCAGAUGCAACUCAUGGGUGGUUGCCCUGAUGACGAACUGGGGCUGUGGAGUUGAGUGGCGAUCCGAGAGCAGAGGACCGAGAGAGGCAUUGGUACGACACAACACCGGAGGCGGGUCCAUUGGUGACAUCGCCAAGCAGAGUCUCAGACCAGGCGUGCUCCAGGACAGGGAGCUAUGCGGAUCUGGAUAUCACCAUACAGAGACGUUUAUUUUACUUUGUGGGGAUAUGGUUCUUGUUGGGCCCUAGAAAUCGAGAAUCUAUCCCAACCCUUUCUGUAUGUUGUCUUGUCUGUCUUUCACGCUCCUUAUUUUGUCCCAUACUAGUAGAGUCCUUCAAAGGGGUUGGCAGAGUCGAGCAGGGCCAAGGGUUGGUCCCAUAUUGUAUGCAGCACCAGAGCGACAUUGUAGUGCCUUUCACCAUAUUGUUUGCAGUGCCUUCCAUUAGAAUAACUAUCUUGUUGCAGUGCCAUAUCAGAAUAAUUCAGAUUGCAGUGUGUCCCUUUUGCAUGCCCGCUAUUUACCUGAGAGAGUCAGACGGAGGAUAACCUACCUGAGUGGAGGCUCUAUUGUGUCCAAUCCAUGUUAACCCAUGAAUUUAAAAUGACUUACCUUGAGCAUACUUACCUGUCCUGGUCUUGUGUGUUGGGGUUGUGUGCUGGAGAAUAUUAAAUUAUCAAGUCUACUCCUGCAACUCCCCUCCGGCAUACAAUGUCGCCAGAGUACUAACCACCGGUCCUGGGAAUCAUCAUUACGCACACCUGGUACUCAUCAUUACACACACAUGUGAAUCAUUAUGAUUCAUACCUGGACUCCAUUACCUUCCUAAUUUCCUCAUAUUUGUAUGUCAGUCUCCCAUUUUCACUCACCAGUUGGUAUUGUUCUUGUUUAUCGGCAUACUGCCUUAUGUUAGUG
ensembl:lncRNA